GGGAGGGGACACACAUUUUACCACUUUGGAAGUGUCUCUCGCGCAAACUAUUCAGUUUAGAAAAAAAUGAUAUUAGAAACCUCAAUAUCAUUUUUGAAGACCUAUCCAUAGAUACCCCACACGUAUGGGUUUGAUGAAAAAAAAAAUUUGAGGGAUUUAUGACGUAUUAAAAAAAAACUACUCACUAGAUCUCGUUCAAACCAAUUUUCGGUGGAAGUUUGCAUAGUAAUG